rnacentral:rRNA from 1 species
AGUUUGAUCAUGGCUCAGAACAAACGCUGGCGGCAGGCUUCAUACAUGCAAGUCGAGCGGAAAGGCCCUUCGGGGUACUCGAGCGGCGAACGGGUGAGUAACAGGUGGACAAUCUGCCCUCUGGCGGGGGGACAACAGCUGGAAACGGCUGCUAAUACCGCAUGUGGUUGCAUGCCCCAGGGUGUGCAAAGAAAGGCGCGUUUGCGUCACCAGAGGAUGAGUCCGCCCCCCAUUAGCUAGUUGGUGUGAUAACAGCGCACCAAGGCUUCGAUGGGUAGCCGAGCUGAGAGGUUGAUCGGCCACACUGGGACUGAGACACGGCCCAGACACCUACGGGUGGCAGCAGUAGGGAAUAUUGGACAAUGGGCGAAAGCCUGAUCCAGCCAUGCCGCGUGAGUGACGAAGGUCUUCGGAUUGUAAAACUCUUUUAUGAGGGAAGAACCGCCUGGGGAGGAAAUGCCCUGGGUCUGACGGUACCUCAGGAAUAAGGGACGGCUAACUCCGUG